UACGUAGGGUGCGAGCGUUGUCCGGAUUUAUUGGGCGUAAAGGGCUCGUAGGCGGCCUGUCGCGUCGGGAGUGAAAGCCCACUGCUUAACGGUGGGUCUGCUUUCGGUACGGGCGGGCUAGAGUAUGGCAGGGGAGACUGGAAUUCCUGGUGUAGCGGUGGAAUGCGCAGAUAUCAGGAGGAACACCGGUGGCGAAGGCGGGUCUCUGGGCCAUUACUGACGCUGAGGAGCGAAAGCCAGGGGAGCAAACGGG
rnacentral:rRNA from 1 species